rnacentral:rRNA from 1 species
UGGUGGAGUGAUUUGUCUGGUUAAUUCCGUUAACGAACGAGAUCUUUACCUGCUUACUAGACACACGAAUCUUUACCAUUUAAGCCUUCGUCAAGGCGUUUGGUCCCGGUCUUCGGAUUUGUGGACCCCCUUGGCGUCGGUGGACUGAUUCGUGGAUGAGCUUCUUAGAGGGACUAUCUGUGUUUAACAGAUGGAAGUUGAAGGCAAUAACA